CGUGCGAUAUUUUGACCUAUCAGCUAUCGUUAGAAGGGUAGUGUCCUUUUAAGGCUGUGACGGGUAACGGGGAAUUAGGGUUUGAUUCCGGAGAGGGAGCCUUAGAGACAGCUACCACAUCUAAGGAUGGCAGCAGGCGCGCAAAUUACCCAAUCCCGAUACGGGGAGGUAGUGACAGAAAAUAUCAACACUUGAUUUUCAAGUGAUUGAAAUGAGUGGACAUUAGAAAAAUGUGCGAGUAUCAAUUGGAGGGCAAGUCUGGU
rnacentral:rRNA from 1 species